GUUCUUGACCUUACGUGUUUUUGCGGACGGAUUGUUAUGGCUGUUUGGCAUUUCACAUUGCGCUUCUAAGACAAACUUCCUUUGAGGUAAAACGCACAAACUUUUUGAGCCGAUGUCGACACAUAGUGGUCGUCGUCUACAAGAAAGUCGUCAUGUUCUGCAAGAACAUCGUUAAUAAU